UGCACCAUAGGUUAAGAACCCU
rnacentral:miRNA from 1 species